GGGGGUGUAGUUCAAUGAUAGAGCGCAUGCUUUGCUUGCAUGAGGCCCCGGGUUUGAACCCUGGCACCUCCA
rnacentral:tRNA from 1 species